UGGCACCCCACUCCAGUACUGUUGCCCAGAAAAUCCCAUGGAUGGAGGAGCCUGGUAGGCUGCAGUCCAUGGGGUCGCACAGAGUCGGACACGACUGAAGCGACUUAGUAGUAGUAGUAAUGUCACUUCAACUCAUGUAUUUGAACCAUGCUUUCAGAUUCAUACCAUUGUGAGCAGAGGAGACAACUUGAUAUGAUUUCAGUCUUCUUAAAUUUGCUAAGGCUUGUUUUGUGGCCAAACAUGUCAUUUAUCCUAGAAUAUGUGUUCUUGAGAAGAAUGUUGUCUACUUUGUAGGAUAGAAUGUUCUAUAUAUGUCUGUUAGAUUCAUUCACAUUACAGUGUUGCUCAAAUUCACUGUUUUCUUAUUGAUUUGCUGUCUGGAUAAUCUAUUCAAAGUUAAGAAUAAGAUGUUAAAAGUCUCCAACUGUUAUUGUGUUGCCAUAUAUUUUUCUUUUAGCUUUUUUAUAGUAUUUGCUUUAUUUAAGUGCUCUGACGUUGGAUGCAUAAAUAUUUACAAUUGGAAAGUUGU